CCUACGGGUGGCAGCAGUGGGGAAUAUUGGACAAUGGGCGAAAGCCUGAUCCAGCCAUGCCGCGUGUGUGAAGAAGGCCUUCGGGUUGUAAAGCACUUUCAGUGGGGAAGAAAGCCUUGGGGCUAAUACCCUCGAGGAAGGACAUCACCCACAGAAGAAGCACCGGCUAACUCCGUGCCAGCAGCCGCGGUAAUACGGAGGGUGCGAGCGUUAAUCGGAAUUACUGGGCGUAAAGCGCGCGUAGGCGGUCUGAUAAGCCGGUUGUGAAAGCCCCGGGCUCAACCUGGGAACGGCAUCCGGAACUGUCAGGCUAGAGUGCAGGAGAGGAAGGUAGAAUUCCCGGUGUAGCGGUGAAAUGCGUAGAGAUCGGGAGGGAUACCAGUGGCGAAGGCGGUCUUCUGGACUGACACUGACGCUGAGGUGCGAAAGUGUGGGUAGCAAACAGGAUUAGAUACCCGAGUAGUC
rnacentral:rRNA from 1 species